rnacentral:rRNA from 1 species
AUAUCAGUCAUGCAUAGCAUAUCAAUAAGCGGAGGAAAAGAAACUAACAAGGAUUCCCCUAGUAACGGCGAGUGAAGCGGGAAGAGCUCAAAUUUGAAAUCUUAAAGGGUUUCCCUUUACGAAUUGUAGUUUAAAGAAGUGUUUUCUGUUGAGGUUUUGGUAAAAGUUCUUUGGAAUAGGACAUCAUAGAGGGUGAGAAUCCCGUAUUUGACCUUUACUUUCAACUUUGUGAUACACUUUCAAAGAGUCGGAUUGUUUGGGAAUGCAGUCCAAAAUGGGUGGUAAAUUUCAUCUAAAGCUAAAUAUUGGCGAGAGACCGAUAGCGAACAAGUACCGUGAGGGAAAGAUGAAAAGAACUUUGAAAAGAGAGUUAAACAGUACGUGAAAUUGUCAAAAGGGAAGCGUUUGACACCAGUGUUGUUUUUCUGAAAAUCAAUUAAAGAACUGUUUAUGCUAAGUUGUUUAGACUUUAUCAGCUAACUGUUUAGUUUUGAGCUUUUCUUUAAUGCACUUUUCAGUUAACAAGUCAACAUCAAUUUCUUUUGCUGUAAAAAAGCUUGAGGAAGGUGGCUUGAGAUUCGUCUUAAGUGUUUAUAGCCUCUUGCCUAUGCAGUCGGAGAGAUUGAGGUCUGCAGCGUAGAUCCUUCGGGGCUAAAUGCAUUUGUGCUAAGUUAUAGCAUUUUAUAGACAACUUGUUGACUAUGAUUUGUCUUGUAGCUUACUCGCUUAUGUUAUUUUACCUACGCUUAGGAUGUUGACGCGCGUGUGUGCGUG